UGGGGAAUUUUGGACAAUGGGCGAAAGCCUGAUCCAGCAAUGCCGCGUGUGUGAAGAAGGCCUUCGGGUUGUAAAGCACUUUUGUCCGGAAAGAAAUCCUUGGCUCUAAUACAGUCGGGGGAUGACGGUACCGGAAGAAUAAGCACCGGCUAACUACGUGCCAGCAGCCGCGGUAAUACGUAGGGUGCAAGCGUUAAUCGGAAUUACUGGGCGUAAAGCGUGCGCAGGCGGUUUGCUAAGACCGAUGUGAAAUCCCCGGGCUCAACCUGGGAACUGCAUUGGUGACUGGCAGGCUAGAGUAUGGCAGAGGGGGGUAGAAUUCCACGUGUAGCAGUGAAAUGCGUAGAGAUGUGGAGGAAUACCGAUGGCGAAGGCAGCCCCCUGGGCCAAUACUGACGCUCAUGCACGAAAGCGUGGGGAGCAAACAGGAUUAGAUACCCUGGUAGUCCACGCCCUAAAACGAUGUCAACUAGGUUGUUGGGGAUUCAUUUCCUUAGUAACGUAGCUAACGCGUGAAGUUGACCGCCUGGGGGAGUAC
rnacentral:rRNA from 1 species